GGCAGGGCUGUUUUUUGUUCUUGUUUCUCUUUUUAUUUUAAUAAACAGUAUGCCAAAUUACAGGGUUAUUUUGUAAACAAUCAUACCAAAGAAGUAUAUUGUGAGGGGUUAUUUUCUCCAAGAGGCAGGCAGUGUGUGUCCCUGGAAUUUCAGAAGUGGCAGGAUGUUUGAAGCUUGUAAAGUCCCAGUGUCAACUGAAGGACAAGAGACAACCUAAGGGAGACGGGUCCCAGACGGGAAUAGAUGGUGUCCAGAAAGAGAAUGGUUGGGAAAUGAUUCUGAAGGCAGGGGCUAUCUUUCUGUUUGUGGUGUUGGCCUGGUGUUAUGUUCUAAACCCCUUGGUGCCAGUGUGUCUGGAGACUUCUAAAUUAUCUAAUCACAAGUUUCAAGAAGAUGGUUGCAACACUGAUAUAAGUAUGUGAUGUAUUUAAUAAUGUAUUUUGGACUUUGAUUGUGUUAUAUGUUAAAUUAAAGCUUCACGUCAGUUACCUGUAACUUUUCUUAACAUUUACCCAGUAUAUAAUUUAUUCUCUUUAUAGGCAUUUGAUCUAACAGAGCAAAGAUACGUAGCUGUGAAAAUUCACCAGUUAAAUAAAAACUGGAGAGAUGAGAAAAAGGAGAAUUACCACAAGCAUGCAUGUAGGGAAUACCGGAUUCAUAAAGAACUGGAUCAUCCCAGAAUAGUUAAGCUGUAUGAUUACUUUUCACUGGAUACUGACUCAUUUCCUAUUCUGGACUCUCAUAUGCAUGGAAUCAUAUAGUUUUGUACAGUAUUAGAAUACUGUGAGGGAAAUGAUCUGGACUUCUACCUGAAACAGCACAAAUUAAUGUCGGAGAAAGAGGCCCGGUCCAUUAUCAUGCAGAUUGUGAAUGCUUU
rnacentral:sRNA from 1 species